rnacentral:tRNA from 1 species
AGGUUCAAUUCCUACUUUUCUA